UUCCUCAUGGAAACCUCAACGAAGGAGAUCUCUAUAGUCCAAUGGAUGGAGCAGUUCCAAUUGACCAUCCGCAUCAAAAGCUAGUGCGAUUAUAAUGCAUUAUCGCUAUGUCCCGGAAGUGUAUAUUUGUAACCGCAGGACACCGCCUGUGCGAAGACUGUUUACCUCCAGCUGGACGAAGAGGCCCAGAGCCUCUACCAAGAAGGAGGUUGGCACUCGCUUGGAUCGCAUCAAGUUCGCUUCAAGGCUACACAUUGCCACUACGGCAACGUACACAUCGCUUAUGCACGAUCAGUAUGGCGAUGCCACGAACGCGUCGAAGAACAUUUCGAGGUGACUUCUGAGGACUGGACAAGAAUAGACGCAAACGUGCUCGUCGACUUUAUAACGAGAUUGUAGAACCCCAUCACAGGAACAACCUGCAACGAUCCAUUCGCCACAUGGACGUACAUUGUCGUGUAAGCAGCGAUCUUUCCAGCGGAAAAAUCUACCUCCAAUCCGGACAGUUCUGCCCACUGCAGAAAGGAACCUGUUUGCAGAUAGUGCUCUACGAAGGAACAGCCGCGAAGAUACAACGGGUAACGAAAGUAAUCGAACACUAUUACAACUUUGACUUUCUACGCCAUAUAUUUAAAUAAAUAUACAUUGAAGGAAGAAAUACUUCUAUCGAUUUAAUGUAAAUCGUUAUCUACAUAAUUAAAAAAUAUAUUAAGAAACAUCGAA